rnacentral:rRNA from 1 species
AUUGAACGCUGGCGGCGUGCUUAACACAUGCAAGUCGAGCGGUAACAGGUGUAGCAAUACAUGCUGACGAGCGGCGAACGGGUGAGUAAUGCUUCGGAAUCUUCCUAGUAGUGGGGAAUAACCUGGGGAAACUCAGGCUAAUACCGCAUACGACCUACGGGUGAAAGCAGGGGAUCGCAAGACCUUGCGCUAUUAGAUGAGCCGAAGUCGGAUUAGCUAGUUGGUAGGGUAACGGCCUACCAAGGCGACGAUCCGUAGCUGGUCUGAGAGGACGACCAGCCACACUGGGACUGAGACACGGCCCAGACUCCUACGGGAGGCAGCAGUGGGGAAUAUUGGACAAUGGGGGCAACCCUGAUCCAGCGACGCCGCGUGUGUGAAGAAGGCCUGCGGGUUGUAAAGCACUUUUAGUGGGGAUGAAAAGCCAAGGGCUAAUACCCUUUGGUACUGACCUAACCCAAAGAGAAAGCACCGGCUAACUCUGUGCCAGCCGCCGCCGUAA